rnacentral:tRNA from 1 species
GGAGAGAUGUCCGAGUGGCUGAAGGAGCACGCCUGGAAAGUGUGUAUACAUUAAUAGCGUAUCGAGGGUUCGAAUCCCUCUCUCUCCGCCA